UUUUCUAGAAAACACAGAUUCAGCCUCUCAUUUCCUUUUCAUUUCAUUUCCUCCUCAUUUCCUCUCUGUUUAUCAAAGUCAGCCUCUCCUCCUCAUCGGUGUACUUCUUCUUCUUGGGCUAUCAACAGAGAUGGGCAAACAGCGUUAGUAGCAAUUUUUGUUUUGAUGCAUGAGAGGUGCACACUUCCAAAACUUGCGCUCUUCAACUUUGAAGCAAGUCCUGUACUUGACUUGCAGUGAUC